AGUGAACGCUGGCGGUAGGCCUAACACAUGCAAGUCGAACGGCAGCACAGUAAGAGCUUGCUCUUACGGGUGGCGAGUGGCGGACGGGUGAGGAAUACAUCGGAAUCUACUUUUUCGUGGGGGAUAACGUAGGGAAACUUACGCUAAUACCGCAUACGACCUACGGGUGAAAGCAGGGGAUCUUCGGACCUUGCGCGAUUGAAUGAGCCGAUGUCGGAUUAGCUAGUUGGCGGGGUAAAGGCCCACCAAGGCGACGAUCCGUAGCCGGUCUGAGAGGAUGAUCAGCCACACUGGAACUGAAACACGGUCCAGGCUCCUGCGGGAGGCAGCAGUGGGGAAUAUUGGACAAUGGGCGCAAGCCUGAUCCAGCCAUACCGCGUGGGUGAAGAAGGCCUUCGGGUUGUAAAGCCCUUUUGUUGGGAAAGAAAAGCAGCAGGUUAAUACCCCGCUGUUCUGACGGUACCCAAAGAAUAAGCACCGGCUAACUUCGUG
rnacentral:rRNA from 1 species